rnacentral:tRNA from 1 species
GGAAAGGUGGCAGAGCGGUUCAAUGCAUCGGUUUUGAAAACCGACGUAGUGUUAAAGCUACCGGGGGUUCGAAUCCCUCCCUUUCCG